GCUGUUAAAGGAUAAUAGUUAUCCACUGGCCUUAGGAGUCAGCAAUUCUUGGUGCAAAUCCAAGUAGCAGCU
rnacentral:tRNA from 1 species